rnacentral:rRNA from 1 species
UACGAAGGGAGCUAGCGUUGUUCGGAAUCACUGGGCGUAAAGCGCACGUAGGCGGAUGUGUCAGUCAGGGGUGAAAUCCCGGAGCUCAACUUCGGAACUGCCCUUGAUACAGCACAUCUUGAGUCCGGAAGAGGUGGGUGGAAUUCCUAGUGUAGAGGUGAAAUUCGUAGAUAUUAGGAAGAACACCAGUGGCGAAGGCGGCUCACUGGCCCGGUACUGACGCUGAGGCGCGAAAGCGUGGGGAGCAAACAGG